CAAGGGAUAUUUUAUAUUCAGAUCAGAUCUCACUCAUCUCCUCUCUUCUUCUUCUGUCGAGCCACUGCGCUUCUUCAUCCUCUCCUCUCCUCUCCUCUCCUCUUCUUCUUCUGUUGAGCGACUAUGCUUCUUCUUCCCCUUCUUCCUCCUCGACAGACGGCUCUUCUUCUUCCUCCUCUCGCGUCUCUUCUUCUUCCCAAACAGCCGUAUCCGGAUUUCUGUGGCCGAAUCCCGCACCCCCGUACCCAUAUCGUGUCGACACGGGUACUCCACCAAAAAUGACGAGUCCGAGUAACACAACUACUUAGUACAAGAAAAU
rnacentral:lncRNA from 1 species